rnacentral:lncRNA from 1 species
GUGCAAAGCCCAGGCACAGGGUUCAGACUCCAUCUUCUGUGUUCUUCUUAAUUGACAAACUGCAAUGGCUGUCUUCAGAGUCUUGGUUUUCUAUGGUGGUCAACUCCUGAGUUCUUAUGAUGUCGCUGGGCACAGAAAAAAUAAACGGAGAAGUUCACCAGGCGCUACCCGUUUUUGAAUCCUUUUGAGGUUCUGUGACCCAGAUGGCCUUGCUUCUUGUCUCCUGUGCUGCAGUUUCACCCCUCUGGAGACUACAACUCAGGAGCAGCUGGAUGAGAUGGAAGAGAUCCCCAGAGAGAGCCAGUGUGGGAGGCAGGACUUCCAUGCCCUCUCCUGUCCCACCGCCUCCCCAAGAGACAGAGUCUUGCUCUGUUGUCCAGGCUGGAGAGCAAUGGUGCCAUCAUAGCUCACUGCAGCCUUGACCGCCUGGGCUCAAGCGAUCCUCCCACCUCAGCCUCCUGAGUAGCUGGGACUACAGGUGUGCACAACCACACUCGGCCAAUUAUUUAUUUAUUGUCCGUCUCUCCAGUGAAAUGGUCCUGAAAAUUAGGCUGGAGGUGGAACUGUAAGAGCAGAGAGGAGGAGAAGGCUCACCAUGAAGACAAAAGAAGUCCUGAGCCUUGGAUUUUCUUCCUCUAGGGCUUUGUGGACCCACAGAUUGGUAGAAGUUCUGUGAGGGCUGACUUCUCCCCAUCUGUCCCAGAUGGAUCCCUUAAGGCUCAGGACACCUCAGAGGACUGGUGCAUGGGCUGCAGCCAGCCUGACCCAGCUCUAUAAAGAAGCUCACCCUUUACAGAUGCCCCAGAGAGGCCCCCAUCCUGCCCUGCAGCCAGCUUCCUGGGCAAGUGGGAUCAGGCACUCGGGGUCUCCCUCCUCCAGGGUUUCCUGAAACAGGAUGCAUUCAGCCCUUGUAGAGUUGCUGGGGAAGUGGAAGGAAAACAGAGGUGACUCUUGAAGCCCCAGGAGCUGACCUUAGAUCUUGACACUCCUGGUGUGUGCAAAGGUCUGAGGAGACGGCCAGAUUGAGGUAAAGCAGUAAAAAUCCGUGCUUGUCAGGAAAGUAGCAAGAGCCGAGUUCUACACUAACCAUUGGCUGGCCUGGGGCAGCCUGCAGCUGCACAACUGCCUCGUACAAUGGCAUGGACAAGCAGUGUCGGUGACGUAGCAGGCCGCUGGGGACCUGGGAGACAUCCUGCUGCUGCAGGAGUCCUGUGCAGAGCAGAGGAGAGAGCAGUUUGGCAAGUGCAGGGGUCCCACUCUUCUUUUGGUUGGUGGCAGGGAGCAGGUGGGGCCUAACCUGGGUGGACAGUGUCUACCUCCCUUCUGUGCAUUUUGCAUUGGCCUUAAUUGGUUCUCCCGGGAUAGUCACGAAAGCCCGACCUUUGUUCCAGGUAAAGUGCUGCAUGUUUCAUGUGUACAGCUCAUUUAAUCUUCACAGGACCUUAUGAAGUAGUUAUUAUAUCUAUUAUCAUCACAGAAAAGAACACUGAGCCUCAGAGAGGUCAAGCAAUUGGCCCAAGAUCACACAGCCUGCAAGAAACAGAGAUGGGACUCAGACCCUGGUCUAUUUGGCUCCCAUGUGCCUUACUACUAUGUUAUACCCACCCCUCCAGGAAUUUCAAGUCCCAAGAAAUGGCCUCCAGAAGGAAAUCCUUUGCCAUCCCCCUAACUUGAGUAUUCAGUGAUUUCUGGAAUAGAACUUGCCUGUUACAGAAAUGGGAAAAAUAUGAAGACACAUGCAAUAAAAAUAAAAACUAAAUUUAGAAUGAAGAGGAGACACAACCUAGGUAAAAUUUAAUUUUCAUUUUGGCUCAUAGGUAAUUUUAUCCUGAAGUGUACUAGGGAUAAUGAUGGCAUGCUGUUUCACUAGAGUAACUGAGUGAAAACAUAAUAAUGAUGAAAAUAAUGAACAUAAUUUUUUAAAAAUUCACCUUGUAGCUUUGUUAUCUAUAGAUGAUGUCAUUAAAAGUUCUGAGAAAUAAAUAUUACUAAUUCAAGUUUACAGAUGAGAAAAAGGAAGAUCAGAGGAGAUAAGGGAUUUGCCCAAUGCUAAUCAAUGAGUAAGGGAAAUGACCAGCGUUGGACCUCCGAAUCCGAGUGUAAUACAUCUUUCUCUGCAGAACUUUGACUCCUUUUUCUUUCUCAUUCUCUAUUCUUUGCCUUCUGGGAUGCCAAUUGCAUGUUUGUUAGACCUUCUCUCUGUGUUUUGAGCAUCUCUUAUAAUCUGCUCAUUUCUUUCUUCCAUAUGCCGUUCAAUAUACAUAUUUUUUUCUAUUGGCAUGUCUUGAAGUUCAGGGAUUUGACUGCUGCUAUGUUCUAUCCACUGUUAAACUCAUCUAGGGAGUUCUUACUUUCAGAUAUUGCAGUUCUAGAAUGUCCAUUUGCUUCUUUUUUUUUAUAAAUUCCAAUCCUCUGUCAAAAUUACUUAUCUUUCCAUCCGUUUUUUUCAAACUUUCCCUUAUUUUUUUAAAAAAAUAUUUUAAAUAAUUUCCUUCAAAUCCUUCUCUGCUAACUCUAACCAUUGGAUACUUUGUGCAUCUGCUUUAUUGUAUGUCUUCCCAUUUAUUGUGGGUCACAUUUUCCUACUUCUUGCAUCUCAUUACUUAGGGUUGUUUGUCAGAUGUUGUUGUUGUUAUGCAUAAAAGACCCGCAGCUACUGAAGUUGAUGUUCUUCUCCCCGAGAAAAAGUUUGCCUUUUCCUUAGCUAGGCAGACAGUACAGGGGGUAUCACUGGAUGCUGUGAGGAAGUGAACUAGAUCACGGCUGGGACUGCAGCUGGGUGUAACUCACUCUGGUUUUGACCAUCUCCUGGGGGACACAUGGGGCACAGGUAGCAUGGACCCCUUUCUCUAGUGCAGGCUUGUCCAACCUGUGGCCCACAGGCUGCAUGAAGCCCAGGACGGCUUUGAAUGCAGCUCAACACAAAUUCAUAAACUUUCUUAAAACACUAUGAGUUUUUUUGCAAAUUUCUUUUUUUAGCUCAUCAGCUACUGUUAGUGUAUUUUAUGUGUGGCCCAAGACAAUUCUUCUUCUUCUGUAGUGGCCCAGAAAAACCAAAAGAUUGGACACCCCUGCUCUCAAGGGACUUUGACUCUUAAGGAACAUGAUACUGAGGGGGAUUUGACUCAUCUCUCCCAGCCCAGCCCCCUUCCUGUAUAAACCAGCCUCUAUCCCAAACCUUCAACAAAGCUGAGUCAAGUUCUCCUAGGCUUUGGAUUGAGCUCCUAUUGUGUCUCUGUCACCUCUUCCCCGAAAGCUGAGCUCUUUAACCUCCACAUCAUGUGGAUUCAAAAUCUGCCAGGUGUUCUGAUUGGGGCCCCGCUGGGUGUGGUUGUCAGCCUCUUCUUCUACUGUGACUUUGACUCCUAGGCACUCUGAGGCUAUGGGAGAUUUCACAAUUCCUGGCUGGCUCAUCCCCUCAGUGUUCUGUGCCACCCCAGAUGCAAUAACUGCCCAGCGGGGAAGGUCAGCCAUGCUUUAGGGACUUCUGGAUGUUCCAUUCUUUGCCAGCCUGCAGGGCCCUGGGUCUCCUCUCUCUUUUCUUCUGCUCGCAGUAAGCCCACUCUUUAGAUGGCCUCAGCAAAUGCCCCUUGGAAAGAAAACUGCCAGCACACUCAUUUCACUCUGCGGGAGCUAUUCCCCUCUGGAAUGUUCAUUCUUUUAGUCUCUUUUGCCUCUAUGAUUCUCCAUACUGUUUAUAAAAACAUGAUUUUUGUGAUACAUCAUUUUUCCCCCUAGCUGUUGCAGUCAGAGGAAUGCCUUGCUAAAUCUUACUCAAAGGCGCAAGUUGGAAAACUGACGGUUAAUUUAUUUUUUCAUCAGUGAGAGCACACCGAGUCAUAUUUUUUGCCAAUAUUUUAUUAUGAAAGUUUGCAAGCAUACAGCAAAGUUGAAAGAAGUUUACAAUCAACAACUCACAUACACAGCAGUGUGUCUGUAAACUGGCUCUCUGGAGGGAAAACAAAAAAUCUGAUUUGUAUUGUUUGCUGAUUUCUGUGGUGUGAAUGUUUUUGUCUUUGCUAAUUUCAAGUUACCAAUGUGACGUGGGGGAGAUUUGUGCAAUAUCAGCUCUGGGGAGCGUAUGUGAGCCAGCUCAGGCCCACCACUGCCUGGAGCCAUCACUUAGAAUCUGUCACCAACAUCUUAGGGUGCUUGUUGAGUCAUGUGUGUAUCUUGCCCUCUAUCCACUGUCAAUCCAUCUUAUGUUUAAAAUGUAUUUCAAUGUAAAUUACAGAUAUAAGAAUAAUUCUUUCUUCUUCAACAUUAACUAGAGUUGGUUCACUAUUUGUUUUUCACUAACUUGCUUUUACUAAUUAAUUUUUUACUAUUUGUUUUGAUGUAAAAUGAAAUCUUAGUCUUAAUUGUGCAUUCACUGAGUUUUGACAAAUCCAUACACCUGUGUAAUCCAGUCCCUAUCAAGAUAUAGAAUACCAUUACUCCAGAAAUUUCCUUUAAAGCUUGGCCAACUAAAAUUUUCAGCUUUUUGGGACAUGGACUGUUACUAAACAAGGCCUCCUUCAUUAUACUUGACCAAAUGAUCAUUCCACCCUAAAUGCAUGUCUUUAUAAUUGUUCAAUUUUGCACUCACCAGGAUGAAUGAUCAGAAAUUUGCUAAUACAAAACUUUGAAAGUAGAUGCACCAUAAUAGGCUGAAAGCUUCAGUACCCAAAGUGUACACCCAUGUUGAGUCAUGCCAAGAAAACAUCACAGACAUUAAACACAGACCAAACCCUCAGUCCCCAGGAAACAAGGGGACGUACAAGCAACCUCACAUCCAUCCCUUCUGAUUCUCUGAAGCUCCAGCUCCCACACAAAGUACAUGUGAAUCAUUCUGAUAAUAAUCCCAUGACAUAGUUGUCAUCCCAAAGAACAAGCCUUUCCAACCUCCUGCCCUGGCUGAUUCGGACGACACCUCACUUGGCAAUAUAUGCAUUUGGCUUCCACCUGCCAUAAGUCAAGGAAAAAUAUCAGGCAAUGGUGGAAAACAAAAUCCAGGAAAAUAUUCACCAAGACAAAGGAGAAAGCAAUCAUUUGCCUUCAGUUAUGGGGAAGGAUAUUUUAGGCUCAAGUGGUGAGAAAUAUUGGACAGUGUUUCAGUUCUCAACCACUAAACCAUGUUCCAGAUGAAGAAGGCAGGUUUGGAGAAAAGCAAAUAGAAUCUCUCACCUGAUGGGCCAAACUAGAAAACAUUUUCAAAAACAAUUUCAUAUAUUUGAGAUAUUAACCACGACAGUAAUUGGGACAUAGGCCUGUCUUUUAUUAUUUGAGAGCUGCUAAGAUUAUGAUACCUUGCCCAUAUGUCACAGCUGAUGAAGCUUUUGUGCUUCGCUACUUAAAUUCUACCACUGAUAUCUCACUCACCAGACCUGUGAGAAUGGAUGAUGCAGAUUUGUUUAACCAUUAGAGCUGUGUAAUAAUUAAAUGGUUUAUUGCUAGAAGGUUCCAUAUUUCAUGACUUCAUGACCACAUGACUCUCUAGCGACCAGAUUUUCCAAGGUGAGUUUGGGUCAUUUUCAUUUGCCAAAUAAAAAUAUGAUACCCAGAGAUAAAGAAUAUUCAAGAAUGUGUUAUUAUUUAGCUCAUUCAACAAAUGUGUAUAUUUAUAUAUUUACUUCUGAUCUCUUUUUCACACAUCAACAGAGUUAUGCUUUGUAGAAUAAUGAUUUGUGAACAAUACCAUUUCCCUGCUAUUGCACAUUUAUGGUGUUUCCAAUUUCUUCAUACGACAGGUAUUGCCACAAUAAAUAACAAGGCAUAGAAAGCGUUCUCUGUAUAUUGGGUUAUUACUUAAGCAUAGAUCGAGGGAUGUAAACCUUUUUAAUACCCUUGAGCAACAUAAUAAAAUUCCCUUCCUAAAAGACUGUAUAAAUUUACAAACCUAUUUUAAAAAGUCUCUGAGCGUCCAUUUCACUGCAGCCUUACCAGCACAGAGUGAUGGUAAUAUAUUGAACAUGUCAAGUUUGAGUAGGGCACGCAGAUCCAGGCUGGAUAUUACCACUCCAACUUUGGAGAAUGUUCUGAAACAGGCCCUGAUCAGUAGACUUAGCUGGGUGAACUUUAAGGUCCCUGCUAAACUUCUAUGAUUAUAUUUGCAAUCAAAUUUUAAUUAUGACACAGCUAGUUAUACUAUGAUUGUUUUAAUAAUACAGCAAUUAUUUUCCAUAAAAUAUUACUAAAAAUAUGCAGAAAAUGCCUGAAUUAGUUCAUAUGAUAGAUAUUGGUAUAAUCUUUUGGUUUUCAGGAUAUUUUGAAGACUAAAGUGGGCAUGCUUACAAUUAAUUGAUUUAAGAUGCAAAUUAUUUUUACUGUUUAGGUAUAUAUAUGUGUGUAUAUAUAUAUCUAAUAUAUAUAUAGGUGAUAUGUUUGCUUGGGCUGCCAUAACAAAAUACCACAAACUGGGUGGUUUAAACAAUAGAAAUUUAUUUCUCACAGUUCUGGAGGCUAGAGGUCCAAGAUCAGGGUGCCAGCAUGGAUGAGCUCUGGUGAGGAUUCUGUUCCUCACUUACAGAUGGCCACCUUCUUGCUGUGUCAAUGAGGUGUUAAAUGAGGACAUAAUAAAAGGAGAGAGAGUUGAAGAGACAGAGUGGGGAGGGUUGGGGAGAGAUAGACAUAUCUUAUAAGGCCAUAGUCCUAUUGGAUUAGUGUUCCACGUUUAGGACUUCAUUUAGCCUGAAUCACCUCCUGAAGACUCUUUCUCCAUAUAUAGUCACAUUGGGAGUUAAGGCUUCAAUGUAUAAUUUGGGGGAAACACAUUUUAAUCCACAGCAGUAUGCAUCUCCAAUAAAAAUGUAUGGUUGGGAUAAUAGUUGAACAAUACUAAAGCAUAUCUUUUUGAGUAUAAAUCGUCAAGUUGAUUUUGUUUUCAGUCUCAAGUGUUUUUCUAUGACUUCUUGUCAAGUCUCCUUCUAGGUCACCAGCUGGGAUGGGAGGCCAACUCUCCAAAUCAGAAGAGGUAAGCAGUUGUUACUGAGGAGUUGACUUCCUUCCCAUUUUGUUCCCUUCAGAUUUGGGAUUUAUGUUAAGACCUUGUUAUGAUUAUCUAGUGCUACAUAACAAAUCGUUCCAAAAUUUAGUGGCUGAAAACAAUGGCAAUCAUUUUACUAUCUGUUACAGUUUUUCUGGGUCAGGAAUUUGAGCAGGACUUGCCUACGUGAUUUUGGCUUGAGGACUCUCACAUGGUGGUAAUAGAUGGAAGUUGAAACUGGAGCAGAGGAGCAGAAGUGGCUGGAGUGGCAGGAACUGGCCAGGCAUCUCUUCCUCUCUGGAUAUAUAGACACUGGGCCUCUUCAUCGGGUCUUUCUGCAGGGCUGGUUGUGCUUCCUCACUGCAUGGUGGCUCAGGGCAGUCAGACCACCUGCGUGGUGGCUCAGCACUCCAGCACAGUGUCCCAUCACUCAAGGUAGAAGCUGCAUUGUCCUCUAGGGCUUAGCCUCUGAAGCCAUGCAGCGUCACUUCCUGAGCUUCCUUGUAACCACUUCCUGUUGGUUAUAAGUGAGGCACAAGCCCAUCCAAAUUCAAAGGAAGAAGAGUUAGACUCCAUCACUUAAUAGGAACGUGGCAAGAUUCUAGAAGAGCAAAUGGGAUAAGAAUUAUUGUUGCAUUCAUCUUAGAAAAAUACAAUCCGCUACAAAGCCCCCUCAUGGAGCACCCAGAUCUGAGAAGGGGGUGCUUUCCACUAAAGUCUCUGCCUCCAUUUUCCACUUCCUCUGCUUCCUUCUCCUUCUUGUGUUCUCCAUGAGCAUUAAACCAAAAUAAACAGUUCUGAGUACCCCUUUUAAUCAAGAUGUGUGAAAAAAUGUGGAAGCUCAUCCUUGGAAGAAUAAUAAUAGAAACUAGCUUUAUUUAUCCUGGGUAAGAGACGUAAGAGGAGAUGAUGGGAUCACUAUCCCAGCACAUGUGAAAGACGGGAACAGGCUUGUCCUGGGCUGCUCCAGAGGGUGGGUGGUACAGGAUUUUUCACAGUCCUGGAGAAACUCAGAGGCUUCCUUGGCUGACCACUUUUUUUUUUCUCUUUUUCAGCUUUAUUGAAAAACAAAUGACAAAUAAAAGUUGUAUAUAUUCAAGGUAUACAAUGUGAUGCUUUGAUACAUUGUGAAAUGAUGACCUCAGUCAAGCUAAUUAAGAUAUCCAUCACUUCCUGGAGGUACCUUUGUGUCUAUAUGUGCUCCGAGCCCCUGGAACAAUGUUGUUCAUUCUGCGGAUGCUCAGCAAGCCCUUGCUGACUGUCUUUAUUUCUUCACCUGCAAUAAGAUCCCCCCAGGCCCAUAUGGAAACGUAAAUGUUCUUGAGGGACUAAUUCAGUGAGACUCUUCCAGGGGAAGUUCAGUCCUCCUGGGAAGUGAUUACACACUGAUGGAAUUUUUGCACACUGGAUGGAAAGAUGAUCUUUGCCUCUUGGCUGUGUCACAGUAAUAAGUGGGAGACUGAUUAUUUCUAAGAGUGCAGCUCUUCCCGGCACUGAUAAGAAUGGAAUGCAGCGCUACCAUGGAGAUUCGGGUCACUAAUUAGUCCCAGAAGCCUCUAGGCCUUGAAUCACUGUUAUAUUAAUUAUGCAUCAAAUUAGAAUGUUUGCAAAGGCUCAGAGCCAACUGUACUGCAGAACCCGGUGACAGCAUGGAGAGAUCAAGGAGUGUCCCGCCCAGCACACUGCAGGGACCAGCAGACAAAUCCACGCGGCCUGCCUGAGCGUGCAGUGACCCCGCCUGAUCUCUGAUACAGCUGUUCGCAACUCCUGCCAGAGAGCUUGUUAUCGGCACAGGGUGGACAAAAGAAGGAAAGGAAGAGAACGAUGGCUUCCCCUCAGUUCCAUAAUCUAAGCUCUACUGCGGUAAUAUCCAGCUGAGAAAAGACACAGGACAAUCAUUUGGGCACUUUAUUUCCAUGGUAACAAAUAGAAGAUUCUUCCAGAUGUUUGCUAACAUCGUGGAGGUAACAUGUCUGGACCGUUGUCUGAUAUUCAGUUUUUAUAGCUGGGGAGACAUGGCUUUAGCUUUGGGUAAACUAUUCUAUCUCUUCCUCCUCUUCCUCUGCCUCCUUCUCCUUCUUGUGUUCUCCAUGAGCAUAAAACCAAAAUAUACUUGAUGCUUUGUUGUAAAAUAAACAGAUGAUAAAUAGCAGUCUCUGUGACUGUUGGGUUAUAAUUCCAUCGAGGGCUGGGGUUGAAGUCAUAAACCACAAGAAGUGAAGCAUGACCCACAAAUAGCCUUCAGGAUGGAAUUACAGCCCCAUAAUUCAGAGUAGCCCUUUGAAAAAAUAAUUCCUAAACCUAGCUAUAAUUUGGGGAAAGAGCCACGACAGUGGUGACGUCUUCUCUAAUCAGUUCAUCAGUAGACAAAUUACUCCCCUUCGUUAUUCUGAUGAUAUUUAUUAACGUUGGGGUGAGCACCCAAUCUGUUUUCUAGGAGGUUACUGUUGAAACCAGGUAGCAGUCGCCCAAACAGAACCAAAGAAAGGGAAACUGGAGUCUCACAGUAAGAAAGUUCUCACCACAGAUGAAGGUCAAUGAGCAUGAGGUGAGAAGAGACAUUCAUUACUUUGGAACUGAUGAGAAAUAUUGAUUCCUGACCACAGGAGUAGUGGCCGAGUUUGUUUUGCGUGGAGUGUGGCAUAAAUUCCGUCCCUGUUCUGCAUCUUACUACUUCUCUAAAUGUCUUUGCUAUUUUCAAAACUGAUUCUGCUUGAUCUCAUAAUUCAUUAAAGCAAGUUGAUCUCAUGCACCCCAAGAGUUAUGAGAAGCUUUUUCAUGAUGGUUCUUGCAUGAUGAAAAUAAAUUCUCAUUUAUUACAGAGAAAAUAAACCGAACCCAACAAUUCUGUAGAAGGUGAAUGUUUAAAUGGCAGUUUCUUGUGAUCAUAAAUUAAACCAUCAAAAUCCCAUAAGGUUUCUCUGCAGCCUAGAUAUUAAAUAAAACAACAAACAUGCAAGGACUGGCAAGUGGUAAGGGCUUAAUACAUGGUCAUUCACUACCAUAAUUUGUACCAUAAAAUUCAGAAAUUCUUUACAUGCUUUGUGUGUUAUUAUCUACUUUGUCAAUGACGCUGAAGACAUGAGGAGAACAAGGGUCUCAUCUGACGCAUUAUGCCUUUCCACAUAGACAAUGUAGAAUAUUAUUUAAAACAGAGUCUACAGCAUGAAGAAAAUAGAAGCAACAGAAAACAACAAGCUAAUAUAUAAACUAUUAAGGCAAAAUGGACAAAGAAUAUGAUCAUUUAAAAGUCGAGCUUAUUGAGGUAUAAUUUGCAGAUAUGCUUUGUGUUUAAUUUGCUCCUUCUUUCCUAGUUUAAGGUGGAAACUUAGAUCAUUGAUUUGAGAUAUGUCUUCUCUUUCAAACACAAAUAUAUAAAAGUGUGAAUUUUACUCUAAGUACUGUUUUGGCAACAACACACACAUUUUGAUAUGUUAGGUUUUUAUUUUUGCUUUGGUUCAAACUAUUUUCUAAUUUUUCUUGUGAUUAAGUUUGAGAAUUUAACAAUAGAAAACAGAAAACAAAUACUUCGUUAUUGAUUUCUAUUUUAAUUUUGUUAUGAUCAGAAAACAUGCUUUGUAUGAUUUAAAGUCCUUUAAAUUUAUUGAGCCUUAUUUUUUGACCCAGAUAUGAUCUUUCUUUGUGAAUGUUGUGUCUGCAUUUGAAAAGAAUUUGUGUUCUGCUAUUGCUGGAUGGAGUAUUCCAUAGCUGUCAGUUAAGACAGUGGUUAGUGGUUCCAUUUAUCUUCUAUGUUUUUCUGUAUGCUUGUAUAUCUGAGAAAAGGAUGCUGAAAUUUCUAACUAUCACUGUGAAUUUGUCUGUUUCUCCUUUUGGUUCUGUCAUUUUUUAUUUUAUUUGUUUUGACAUUGUUAGGUAUUAUUAGGUGCAUGUACAUUUGGAACUGUUAUGCACUCAUGAUGAACUGAGUUCUUUCUUGUUAUAAAAUGUCUCCCUUUAGCCUACAUAAUAAUAUGUGUUCUGAGGCCUACUUUGUGUGAUAUGAAUUACAGCCAUUCCAGAUUUCUUUUGAUUAGCUUCUGCAUGGUACUUUUUUCAUCCUCUUCGUUUUAUCUAUAUAUUUAUACAUAUUGUAUAUUUCUUGUAGACAAAAAUAGGUAUGUCUUGCUUUUUAAAACCCAAUAUGACAAUCUGCUUUUUUAAUUAGAAUGUGAAGAAUUUUCUCUAAUAUUUCUUAUAAUAUAGGUCUGUAGUUUAUGGAUCCUAUCAGCUUUUAUUUGUAUAAAAAUAUUUUCUCUAUUUCUAAUUCACUCUCUAUUUUGCCUUCAUUUUUAAGAGAUAUAUUUCCUGGGAAUCCUAUGAUGACGGUUCUUUCUGUCAGCACUUUUAAGAUAUUCAUCCAUUUUCUUUUGGUCGGCAUAUUUUCUCAUAAGAAGUCUGCUGUCAUGCUUGUCUUUAUUACUCUGUAAGUAGUAUGUCUUUUAUCUCUGGCUGCUUUUAAGAUUUGUUUAUCUCUGAUUUUUAACAAUGGGAUCAUGAUGCGUUUUAGCAUAUACGUCUUUAUAUGUAUUCUGCUUGGGUUUCAUGGAGCUUUGUUGACAUAGUUUUCAUUAAAUAUAGAUAAACUUCUAGCUAUUAUUAUUUCUUCAUCUAUCUUCCCUCUUCCUUUCUGGGACUCUAAUUUCACAUGGUAGACAGCCUUGAUAUUGUUCCAUAGAUACUAGAUAUUAUUUUUGUUUUCGUCCAUCUUUUUUGUUUCUCUGUACUUAAUUUUGGAUAUUUUCUAUUGGCAUGUCUUUGAGUUCACUGAUCUCUUCUUCUGCAGUUCCAAAUUGGCCACAAAACUGUCCAGUAUAUUUUUUGUUUCAGAUCACAUAAUUUUCACCUCUAUCAGUUCCAUUGUGGUACCUCUCUCUCUUCUUUAAAAUAUAUUCCUUUCUGCUCCUCAUAGUGUUGUUUUUCCCUCCUUCUUGAGCAUAUUAAGCGUGUUUAUGAUAGUUAUGAUAGCUGUUUUAAAAUUUGUUUCUAAUUUCUGAAUUUCUGUCAUUUCUGUUUCACUUCAACUUAUUGGCCUUUUCUAGGUAUGGGCCAUAUAUUUCUGCAUUUUUGCAUACCUGAUAAGUUUUUAUUUGAUGUCAUAUAUUGUGAGAUUUUACAUUGUUGUGUGUGGAUUGUGUUAUAUUCCUUUUGAUAGUGUUGGACUUUGUCCUGGCAUCCAGUCAGAACAGUGAUUGCCUCUGGGAAGUGGUGAGAUUGAUGUUCAAGGUAAUUGAAUGGCUCUGUAUCUAGAUCUGGGUAUUGGUUACAUGGCUGUGUGCUUGCUACAAAACUCAUCCAUAUAUAUACACUUACAACAUGUGCAUUUUACUCUAAGUAAAUUACACUCAAAAAUAUUAUAAAAUGUUAUAUAUGACCAUUUAAAAAAUUUGAAAUAAUACAAUUAUAUAAAGAAUAACAACUAAAAGUCCUAUCUUCCUCCAUCUCAAUUGCACUGCCUCUUCAUUAUUCCUUCUUUCCCAAAAUCUUACCAUUCAUAAACCAGUUAAAUCCUUUUCUAUAUCACCUUCAAAAUCUUUAUCUAUGGAUUUACACCUGUAGCAUCAUGGUUAAGACCACAGGCUCUAGAAACAAGACUGCUUGGGACAGAAUCAUGGCUCUACUACUUAGUAGAUUCAUUUUGCCUAGUUUUGAACAUCAUACAAAUAGACAGAAAAAGUAGGCAUUUCUGUAUUUGACUUCCUUCCCUCAAUGUCAUAUUUUUGAGGUUCAUUGAUGUUGCUUAUGUCAAUAGUUUAUUCCUUUUUCUUGUACCCAGUUAUAUAUAUCAUUUUAUAAAUAUAACACCAUUUUCUUUUCUGUUCUCUGACUGAUAGACAUUUGGGUUGUAUCCAGUUUGGGCUAUCAUGAUAAAAGCUGCUGGGAAUAUUCUUGUACAAGUUUUUGGUGGAUACGUGUUUUUAUUUAUCUAGAGUAAAUAUUUAGGAGUGAACUUGCUGGGUCAUAGGGUAUGUUUAAAUCUAUUUAAAAAAACCUAACUAUUUUUAUUUAACAUUGCUUUCAGUAAAGUAUGAGAGUUCCAGUUCUUCUACAUCCUAACCAGCACUUGACAUGGGUCAGUCUUUUACAUUUUAGCCAUCUAAUAGGUGUGUUUUGAUAUCUUUUGUGACUUUAAUUUUCGUUUCCCUGAUUACUAAUGAUGUUAAUAUUUUCAUGUGCUUAUUUACCAUUUGUAUAUCUUCCUUUGUUAAGUAUUUGUCCAAGUCCUUUGCCUAUUGUUCUGUUAAAUAGUGCAGUGUAACACAGAUAAACCCAUAACUUAUUGGCUUAAAGAUUAGUUUUAAAUUUUGUUUAUCAAUCUUCCAUUUGGGCAGGAUUCAGUUUGGACAGCUGAUUUCUGCUCCAUGUGGCAUCAGUUGGAGGAGCUCGACUGGGGCUGGGUGUUCUCCCAUAUGGCUUACGUACAUGCCUGGCAAGUUGAUGCUGUCAGCAGGAAACUUCGCUAAGGCUGUUAGCCAGAUGCCUUUGUUCCUCUUCACUUGAGUCUGUCCAUUUGAUUGCUUGGACUUCCUCAAGCGUGGGGGCUGUGUUCUAAGGAUGUGUGUUUUAAGAGAACAGAAGUGAAUGCUGUCAAUCUCAUAAGGUCUUGACUUGGGCACUGGGUUAGUAGCUUCACUUCCAUCAUACUCUGUUGGUCAAAGCAGUGCAGAAUUCACUCAGAUUCAUAGGGAGAGGACAUAGACUGUUUCUUCGUGGGGGGAAUGAGACAACAAUUAAUCCACCAUAGUCCAUCCUCUGAUUGGACUGCAUGGUUGGAAUGAAUGAUUUGCAUCAAUCCCAUGUAAAAAAUAGAAUCAGUUCCUCCUAAGACCUAUGAAAAUUUUACACCUUGUCUCUAGCUUUCAUCCUCCAAUCAAACUUGAAGCUCUUAGGAAAAAGCCAGUUAAGUAUGGAUCUCAUCCCUUAAAUUUUCUUAUUAUUAAGGUAAUAUCAGCUCCAUUUCUGUUUGCUUCCAGUACUCUUCAGUGUUUUCAAACAAUUGAUUUUUAUAUUUUGUACAUAGUUUAUAAUUGCUUUUGGCAAGAUUAGCAUAAUAAAAGCUUCUCCUCCUACUGUUGAAAACAGAGUCUCUUUGUAUAACAUACAAAAUACAUUUUUAAAAUAUUUAUAAUGAGGCAGGGCACAGUAGCUCAUGCCUAUAAUCCCAGCACUUGAGAGGCUGAGGCAGGAAGAUCCCUUGAGGCCUGGAGUUCGAGACCAGCUUGGGCAACAUGGUGAGACCCUCAUUUCUACAAAAACAAACAAACAAACAAACAAACAAACAAACAAAAUUAAAAAAAAAAUUAGCCAGGUGUAGUGGUGUGUGGCUAUAGCCCCAGCUACUCAGGAAGCUGAUGGGCUCACUUAAGCCCAGUAGUUUUAGGCUGCUGGGAGUUUUAGGCUGAUGGGAGGAUCACUUAAGCCCAGUAGUUUUAGGCUGCAGUGAGCUAUGACCACACCACUUCCCACCAGCUUGGGCAACAGAGCAAGGCCCUGUCUCUAAAAAUAUAUAUAUUUAAAAUGAGGAAAAGUAAAAGUAACCCUAAACAAUAGUAUAUAAAAUGCAAACACCUAGUAAAAACAACAAAAAAAAAUUCACAUGGGAAAUGAUUUCUAGUCUUGAACAAUUUACUGAUUAUUUGACAUCAAAGAACAGCAUUGAAUGUAACAUAAGCAGGUUGCUUUAUAUGUUUGGGCUCAGAUAUUUAUCUGAAGGACAAGAGGUUUAGAUCAGACAAUGUAAAUAAUCCUUUAGAUGUUUGAGGCCUACGAUUCGAAUAACCUUAUAAUUAAAUGUAGCAUUUGAUUUCCAUUUUGGUGAAUGUAAAGAAAGCUUAAGAAUUUACAAUUUAUAUGGUCAGUAUGACAUCAGAAUACAGAAAAAAGAAAUUACCUCAAACCGUACAAUUAUCUUUUCAGAUGGAGCUUACAGUUCCUUUCUUCUCUAACAGGGUUCACAAGCUCAAGAAGUACCUGAAAUUGGGCUAGGAAAUAGUCACAGAGUAAACAUGGCUUGUUUUCUGAGGGUAUCAAUUUUACCUUAUAAUUUUGAGUAAAAUCACAUUCAUAAAUCAUAUUGCAUAAAAAUAAACUUAGAUAACUUAUGGUAUAAAAUACAAAUAUUAUAUAAAUAUUUAAAGCUUAAAAUAGAAAAAAAGUCUAUUUGGAGAGAAACCUUAGGGCAACUAUUUCAGUUGCUGGAGGAGAAAGACUUUGUCUCUUCUGGUAUUGUAAUAGAAAAGUUUGAGAAAUGCUAUAAAUUCACUGGGCGUUGGGCAAGAAGUCUAAAAUCCUGCUCUUUAUUUAAGAUCUGCAACCAUCAUUGGAUCUAUGCCAUAAAUAUGUUUUAUUUACCCAGACAUCUGCACUAUUUAUUUAGCUUUAGUCACUGAACGAACAGUUUUCAUUCUGUAUGAGGUGCUACCCUCAAAACUAUUUGUCUGUUUCUCAGUACGUUUUUGGUUGAUGGAGUUUGGAUGAAAUAUCUGUUUCUCUGACCCUCCACUUAAGGCAAAACAUAGCAGCCUGCCCUUCCUUUCCAGGUGCAGACAGAACUGAGAUUAGCAUGAACCAUUCCUUCCAGUUGACUACCAAGGGGUAAACUAUGAAGAGUUUUGCAUUGUGAUUUAGGGGUCUCAAUUGUUCUCCCUUCCACCAUGGGCUGUGAUAGUGCCUAAAGCACCAGUCCUCUGAGGUAGGACAGAGUGAUCUUGAUAGGCCAAUACUAUGAAAGAUGAGAGGGAAAUCCUCUCUCAAGCCAUUUGUCAUUUCUAAACACCUUGAUUCAAGCUAGUUGGCCAUAAUUUAAAAAUAAGCCCUUAAAUUAUUUAACACUCUUCCUAUUUAAAGUCAGACUCUAAUUCCUCUUCCCCUGAAUAUAGUCCAGCCAGUGACUUGCUUUACAAGAAUACACUUAGGCUGAACUGAUGCUGUGUGAUUUUUUUUUUUUUAAACUAGGGUAGGGAAGACAACUCAAUUCUGCCCAGAGAGCUCUUUUUCACUCAACUGAAUACGCACUGGGAGCCAUAAGCCAACAUGUAAGGAAUUCAGCUACUCAGAAGCUAUCAUGCUGGAAAGACCAUGUAGAAAACUUACAGACAUAGAAAAAGUUCCUUGAGGGCUCCAGCCCCCAGCUAUUUGAGAAUUCCAGGUCCAUGCCUCAGGCCUAUAAGCCAGGAGCUUUCAGAUGAUUCCAGUCUUCAAGCCAUCCCAGCUCCUGGUAAAUCGAGCAGAGAUGAGCCAUCCCCGCUAAGCCCUGCCCAAAUGGCAGAUUCAUGAGCAAAACAAAUGCUCUUGUUGUUUUAAGCCACUGAGUUUUGAGGUGGUUUGUUGGUUUGUUAGGUAGUAAUAGAAAAAUGGAUUCUUUCCUAUUACCUAGUCAAAUUCUGAGGAAAUGGGACAUAAGUAAAUCAUAUUUGUUUUCAUAUACAUUUCCUGUUUUAAAAUUGGGUUGUUUGUAGAUAAAAAGAGAAAGGCAAGGAGAGUUCAGAAUCACAAUGCACUAAAAGAAAGAGUUCAGAGAGGUGGGAAAUGAAAUACUUUCACAGAUAUCUCCAAUAAAUAUGCAUGUGCACAGAACCUUGAAAGUUUUAAAUUGGCAGGGAUCUUAGGAAUCAUAAAACUGAACCUACUUUUCAAAAGUAAAGUUCAAGGAAUUAACUCAUUUGGGCAGGAUUCCAGAGCCAGAAUAGAGCCCAAGAUUCCAAACCUAGCCACUGACUGCAGUACCUCUUUUCUCGAGGCAUGUAUAAUAAACUCCACCAAUUUAGCCAAAUAAUAAGGGCAAGAUCAAAUAAACAAAAAAGCAAUAGCAACAACAGCAACAAUUCUGCAUAACCUAACUGGCUAUUUCUAAAAGUAGUUGUCUUUGCUCUGCCUGUCCCUGUCUAUUGUCUCCUUGUGGAAUAAGUGUGUCCACCCCUGGGUCCUUGACAUUAAAGGGUUUGGGAAACUGCUACAGAAUUCGCAGUUCUAGUUCUCCAGGCAAGGGAGUUAAUGGAUCUCAGACAUGCUUAUGUUAUUUCACUACACACAGCAGUGUAUUUGUGGAGUGCUUACCAUGUGAUAGCAGCUGUACUAAGUACUUUAUGUACAUUAUUUCAUUUUAUCCUGCUUUGAAUUUUUUAUAAAUCAAGUUUAUUGUGGUAUAAUUUUUAUAUACUAAAAAGCACCCAUAUGAUAGUUUAAAGAGUUUAGACAAAUAUAUAGACCGUGUGACACCUAGCAUAAUCAACACACAGAAAAUUUUCAUUCCCCCACCCCCAAAAAGUUUCUUUAUGCUUCUUUGCAGAUAAUCCUCCUCCUGCUGUGCCCAGGCAACCCAAAGUCCUUUCCAUCACUAUCGAUUUUAUGCCUAUUCCCAAAUUUCAUAUAAAUAGAAUCCCACAUUAUGUAUUCUUUUGUGUCUGGAUUCUUUUGCUUGGCAUAAUGUUUUUCAGGUUCACCCGUAUAAUUGUGUGGACCAGGAGUUUGCAACUUUUUAUUGUUGAGUUUUAUUCCAUUGUAUAGAUAUACCACAAUCGGUUUAUCCAUUCUCCAAUUUAUGGAUUUUUUUUUCCAGUUUGGGGCUAUUAUGAUUAAAGCUGCUAUGAACAUUCUUGUAUAAGUCUGGGUAGAAAUAUUUUAUUUAUUUAUUUAUUUUUUGAGACAGAGUCUCACUCUGUUGCCCAGGCUGGAGUGCAGUGGUGCUAUAUUGGCUCACUGCAAGCUUUGCCUCCUGGGUUCACGCCAUUCUCCUGCCUCAGCCUCCCGAGUAGCUGGGACUACAGGCGCCUGCCACCACGCCCAGCUAAUUUUUUUUUUGUAUUUUUAGUAGAGACGGGGUUUCACCGUGUUAGCCAGGAUGGUCUCGAUCUCCUGACCUCGUGAUCCGCCCACCUUGGCCUCCCAAACUGCUGGGAUUACAGGCAUGAGCCACCACACCCAGCUGAAAUAUGCUUUUAUUUAAUUAUCUUAGGUCGAUGCCUAAGGGCGGGCCAUAUGGUAAGUGUAUAUUUAACUUUGUGAGACACUGCCAAACUGUUUUCCAAUAUGGUUGAAUCAUUUAUGUUUCUAUCUGCCAUAUGUAAGAGUUCCAGUUUCUCCACAGAUUUGCCACCCUACUAUGUGUGUAGUGGUAUCUCACUAAGGUAUCAAUUUGCAUUUUUCUGAUGUCUAAUGGUGUUGAGUACUGUGUCUUUAUUUGCUAUUUAUAUACCUUUUUUGAUGAAGUAUCUUUUCAAAUACAUUCCCCAUUUUAAAACGGGGCUAUUUGUUUCCUUAUUAUUGAAUUGUAGGUGUUCUUCCUGUAUAUAUUCUGGAUACAAGUCCUUUGUUAGAGAUAUGUACUGUCAAUUAUAGAUGCUGUACUGUAAAAGUCUGUCACUUGCCUUUUCACUUUCUUGACAGCAUCUUUCAAAGAGCAGGAAUAUUAAAUUUUGAUAAAACCUAAUCAGUUUUCUUUCCUUUAUGGAUCAUGCUUUUGAUGCCCUAUUAUGUUAAAGUUUUAAAGUUGGACUGUUGAGAGGGAAAAGGAGCCAAUCUGAAAAGAUAAUCCAAGGCAUGACUAAGAAAGCAUUAGUUCUGAAUUCUGGGAUUACAUCAGAAUCAGCAGGUGAUUUAAAAACACCUGUCUAGGACCUAGCCCCAGAAAUUCCAAUUUAGACUGAUCUAUGGUGUAGCCUAAUUGUGAAUAGUCUUUAGAGGCUCUUUUGGUGAUCCUAAUGUGCAGCUAUGGAUGAGAAUUAUCAAAAAAGAGGUAAAGUGUGUGCAAAAUAUGUGAAAUUUAUUUCAGCAUAUAUAAGGCUUUCAUUAAUGGGGUAUUUUGUAUAAUUCUAAAGGAGUCACAUGUUAAAGUGCACAACUGAAAUCUAGUAUGUAAUAAUCAUUUGUAUUUAUACUUUUUUGAGACAAAGGAAGUAGAUAAGCAACACCCCUGAGUUUCAGACAUCACAAUGCCAUAGUGUGCUUUAUGGGAAUAUAGAGAUGCAAGGAAAAGUGUCUGAAAAAGACACACACACACAUACACACACACACACACACACACAAGAUAGUCAAGAUGCUUUUAUAAUCAUUUUAAGAGGUCUUCAUCAUGAGGUUAAAUAAGUCAUUAAAAAAAGCAAAAUAGGCAGAAAAAGCUUUUUAGCAGAAAGUUUAUAAAAAUUGCUGGGGAGUAACAAACAGGAUAAAUAGGGAAAAUCUACAGCUGAUACAUGUUGAAGUAAUUGACUUAAAAGGUUUAUUUAGAGGAAGUAUUUUGCUAUAGCAGAGUGAGAAGUUUAGCAAUGCUUCUUCCCCCAAAAAACAAGUAUAAAAUUGGAAAAACUAUUUAAAAAAUGGUCUCAGGGCUCUGAAAAUCAACCAAAGAAAAAUAACAACUUGAGAAAUGGUUAUUGGUGAAAAAUGGCUAGAAAUGUGGAUAAGAAAAGUGUAGAUUCUAUAGAGAUCUACAGCCUUCUUGCCUAGGACUAUCCCUCUCCCUUAACUCCUCCUAAAACUUGGUUAGCGCGCUAGUUUUAGCAAGGCAGGACUGACUAUGAAAACCAGCAGUACUGCUAGAGGGGGUUGACUUGAUUUGAACUGGAGGUUCCAAACCUAUUCCUGGCAGCAUUAUCAAGAAAAGUAGGAUACAUGGUAGGAAAUAAAUGGGGAAUUUUUACAGCUCUGCUAACCUGAGUUUGCAGUACCAGUUAGGGCUAGUUAUGGGCUAGUCAAACUCUUAACAGGAAGUUUCUGGAAAUGAGAGUCAUAUAAGGGCUAGAUAAGCUCUCUGUGCCUUUCUGGCUGGAUGAGAAACUACGUUUACAGGAGAGCUAUGUAAAGUAAAAGCUAGGACAGACUUGAAAAGUGCCUGAACUUUGAAUGCGUCCUCUCUCCUGUCUGCCCCACCCAAUUCACACACAGAUCUAUUAGCAGAAGGUGGAAACCUUACAGGCUUAAGGUAUUUGAGCACAACCUCUUAUCAAUCACUGACAAACCAGCAGAUACAGGACUACACAUUGGAAGCUAGGCAAAAAUGAAUGAAUGAAUGGAGAAUUAUUUUAAACUGAGCAGAGACAUCAGUGGCAGCACAUCUCAGAGAAACAGAUUCUGUAAACUAGGUUGGAGUAAAUUAUCUAAAGGAACAACUAUCUUGUGGGAAAAUAUCAUAUCCCAGAGUUGUUACAAUAUUAAUCUAAAAUGUCCAGUUUUUUUUCUUUUUAAGACAAGUUUUGGCUGUAUCACCCAGGCUGGAGUGUAGUGGUGCAAUCUCAGCUCACUGCAACCUCCACCUCUUAGGCUCAAGCCAUCCUCCCACCUCAGCCUCCCAAGUAGCUGGGUCUACAGGCACGCACCAACACGCCUGGCUAAUUUUUGUAUUUUUUUGUAGAGGCAGGUUUUCACCAUGUUGCCCAGGCUGGUCUUGAACUUGUGAGCUCAAGUGAUCCAUCCACCUUGGCCUCCCAAAGUGCUGGGAUUAUAGGCAUGAGCCACCACGCACAACCAAAUGUCCAGUUUUCAAUGAAACAUCAUGACAUAGUCAAAGAAACAAGAAAAUGUGAUCCAUAGUCAGGAAAAAAACAGUCCAUGGAAACUGACUUUGAGUGCACCUAAAUAUAUUUAGCACACUAAGACUUCAAAACAGCUCUUGUAUUUUAAAAAUUAAAGUAUGAUGAUAAUGACACUGUAAUAGGAAUGCUCAGUAGAGAAACAGAAGCAAUAAUAAGGAACCAAUGGAACUUCUAGAAUUUAAAAGCCCUAUAGCUGAAAUAAAAAAUUAAAUGGGCACAUUUGGGGUGGCAAAAGAAAUAAUUGGUGAACUUCAAAUAGAUCAAUAGAAAUUAACCACUCUGAAGAACAUGGAAAAACAUAGAUUGAAGAAAAAUGAGCAGAGCCUCAGAGACCCAUGUGGCAAUAUCCAGCAUACCUACUAACACGUAAUGAGAGUCCCAGAAAGAGAAGAUAGAGAUACAUGCAGGAAAAAUACUUGAAGAAAUAAUGGCUAAACAUUCUGCAAAUUUAAUGAAAAACAUGAAUUAUACAUCUACAAAGCUCAACAAACUCUAAAUAGGAUAAACAUUAAAAUCCCCAUCUAUACACAUUAGAGUAAAAUUAACUGAAAACCAAACACAAAUAGAAAAUCUUAAAAGCAGCAAGAGAAAACCAGUUCAUCCUAAACUGGGGAAUAACAAGACAAUUAAUGCCUGAUUUCUUAUCUGAAACAAUGGAGGCCAGAAGGCAGUGGAAGGACACAUUUAAAGUGAUGAAAAAAAAAACUGUCAACCACAAAUUCUGUGUGCAAAACAAUUCUUCAAAAACAGGUGAAAUAAAGAAACUCCCAGAUGAAGACUGAGAUAAAUUAUUGCUGACAGAUACAGCUUCCAAGAAAUUCUACAGAAAAUGAAAGGAAAUGACACCAUAAGGCAAAUCCACAGGGAGAAAUGAAGAGCACCAGAAAUGGUAACUACGUGGGUCAAUAUAUAAGAUUGUAUAAACAUGUAUUUUCUAUUUUUUUUAAAACACAUCAGAUUUUGUGAAGCAAUAAUUGAAACACUAUUGUUGAGUUUAUAAUGUUAUAUAGAUAUUACAUAUGUGACAAUAAUAGCACAUAUAAGGAGAUGGGAUGAAAUUAAGCUAUAUAAGAGCAUCAGUGUUGGAUUUUGCUGAAAGUAAAUCAGUAUUAACAUGAAUUAUAUUGAUAAAUUAAGAGUACACCUUAAUCCCUACAGCAAACACAAAGAAAAUAAAGAAUCAAUAGAAUAAUAAAGUGAUACACCAAAAAUAAUUGUUUAACCUAAAGACAGCAGUAAAGGAGUAACAGAGGAACAACAACAAAAAGACAUAAACUAUAUUUAAAACAAACAGCAAAAUGGCAGACAUAAGUCCAAUUCUAUCAAUAAUCAUAUUAAAUAGUCCGUUAAAUCAACUAAACACUGUAAUGAAAAUACAAAGAUUGGCAGAUGGGAUACAAAAGAAAGAUUCAACUAUGUGCUGACCACGAAAGACAUACUUGAAAUGCAAAGAUACAACUAAAUUUAAAGUAAAAGAAGUGGAAAAGAUAUAUUAUACAAACAGUAAUCAUAAGAAAGCUGGAGUGGAUAUAUUAAUAUCAAACAAAGUAGACUUUCAGAAAAUAAAUAUUACUAGAGAUUCAGAGGGACAUUUCAUAAGCAUAAAAAAGUCAAUACAUCAGGAAGAUACGAUGUUAUUAGCACCAUGCUCUAACCAACUGAGCUGACCAGCCAUCACAUGAUCUUAAAUAUAUUUGUACCUAACAACAGGAUUCUGAAAUACAUCAAGUAAAAGCAAAGGGCAUUGAAAAGGCAAUGUAGAUGAUUUAAUAAUUAUAGUUCAAGAUUUUAAGACCCUUGAUACUGACAGAGAAAGUAGACAGAAAAUUAGUAAAGAGAAAAGGUUAAAAAAAACGAUUAUUCAACAUGGUGGUUUAACUGACAUGUAUAGAACACUUCCCCCUGCAGCAGCAAAAAAUAUUCUUUCAAGUGCAUUUGGAAGUUUCUUCAGGACAGAUCAUACGAUAGGCUUUAAAGCAAGUUUUCGGCCAGGUACGGUGGCUCAUGCCUGUAAUCCCAGCACCGUGGGAGACCGAGGCGGGUGAAUCACCUGGUGUCAGGAGUUUAAGACCAGCCUGGCCAACAUGGUGAAACCCCAUCUCUACUAGAAAUGCAAAUGUCAGCCAGGUCCACACCUGGACACCAGGUAUCAGUCACCUGUAAUCCCAGCUACUCAGGAGGCUGAGGCAGGAACAUCGCUUGAACCCAGGAGGUGGAGGUUGCAGUGAGCCGAGAUCACACCACUGCAUGCACUCCAUCCUGGAUGACAGAACGAAACUACGUCUCCAAAAAAAAAAAAAAAAAAAAAAAAAGCAAGUUUUCAUAAACAUAAAAAGAUUGAAGUCAUUCAAAGUAUGUCCUUCAAUCACAAUAGAAUUGAAUUCAAAAUCAAUGACAGAAUCUUGAAAAAUCCUUUACAAUAUCUGGAAAUUAGAUAACACAUUUCUAAAUAACUCAGGAUCAAAGAAGAAAUUGAAUGUAAAAUUAAAGAAUAUUUUGUACUGAAUGAAAGUGAAAAGACAACAUAUGAAAAUUUAUGGGAUGCAGCUAAACAGUGCUUAGACAAAAAGUUGCAGCUUUAAACAUGUAUAUUAAAAGUUGUAUUCACCGUUUAGGAAGGUAAUUGUUACAAAUUAGAAAAUGUUUUAUUGUAUGCACAAAUUUUAGACUUCGUUGGUUUAAUGUUGGAGCCUCCUCAUCAAAGGUUUUUAAGUCUUUAAAUACAUAGCAAUACAUUAUAUAUAUAUAUAUAUAUAUAUAUAUGCAUGUAUAUAAGUGCAUAUAAUAUACUGUUAAAUGCUUUAUUCAGAAAAGAUCUUGUAGAUAAUCACCACCAUGUAUUGAUAUUCUGAUAUAGUUUGAACGUAUGUCCCUACCAAAUCUCAUGUUGAAUUUCAAUCCCCAGUGUUAGAGGUAGGGCCCAGUGGGAGGCCUUUGGAUCAUAGGGGUGGAUCCCUCAUGAAUGGCUUGGGCCAUGCCCUUGGUGAUAAGUGAGCUCUUACUCUGAGUUCAUACAAGAUGUGGUCAUUUAAAAGUGUGUGUCACCUCACCCCGACUCUUUCUUUCUUGCUCCUUCUCUGCCAUGUGAAGUGCCUGCUCCCCCUUCACCUUCCACCAUGAUUGGAAGCUUCUUGAGGCCUCCCCAGAAGCAGAUGCUGGUGCUGUACUUCCUACACAGCCUACAGAACCAUGAGCCAAUUAAACAUCUUUUCUUAUAAAUUAUCCGGUCUCAGGUAUUUCUUUAUAGCAAUGCAAGAAUUGGCUAACACAGAUUCUAUCCACUUGUGGGGCACUGGGCUAAGCACUUUAUAUAUACAAUUUCAUUUAAUAUUCACAAUCCUAUUUUCAUGCGCGUCCGUGUGAAGAGACCACCAAACAGGCUUUGUGUGAGCAGUAAAGCUGUUUAUUUCACCUGGGUGCAGGUGGGCUGAGUCCGAAAAGAGAGUCAGUGAAGGGAGAUAAGGGUGGAGCCCUUUUAUAGGAUUUGGGUAGGUAAAGGAAAAUUACAGUCCAAGGGGGUUUGUUCUCUGGCGGGCAGGAGUGGGGGUCUCAAGGUGCUCAGUGGGGGUGAUUUUUGAGCCAGGAUGAGCUAGGAAAAGGACUUUCACAAGGUAAGGUCAUCACUUAAGGCAAGACCCGGGCAUUUACACUUCUUUUGUGGUGGAAUGUCAUCAGUUAAGGUGGGGCAGGGCAUAUUCACUUCUUUUGUGAUUCUUCAGUUACUUCAGGCCAUCUGGGCAUAUACGUGCAAGUCACAGGGGAUGCGAUGGCUUGGCUUGGGCUCAGAGGCCUGAUAUUCCUGACUUCUUAUAUUAAUAAGAAAAAUAAAACACAAUAGUGUUGAAGUGUUGGAGCGGCGGAAAUUUUUGGGGGGUGGUAUGGAGAGAGAAUGGGUGAUGUUUCUCAGGGCUGCUUCAAGCGGGAUUAGGGGAGGCGUGGGAACCUAGAGUGGGAGAGAUUAAGCUGAAGGGAGGUCUUGUGGUAAGGGGUGAGAUUGUGGGGAUGUUAGAAGAAACAUUUGUCAUAUAGAAUGACUGGUGAUGGCCUGGAUAUGGUUUUGGAUGAAUUGAGAAACUAAAUGGAAUAAGAGAAGGAGUAAAACAGAUAUAAAAGGUCUAAGAAUUGGGAUGACUCAGGAUAUCUGAUUAGAGAGUGCCUAAGGAGAUUCAGCAUAGUCCUGCCAGCAGAGAUUAUUUAUUUACUUCAAGAGUUAAGAGUGGCAGUUUGGGGAUAGCACCAGGAGAUAUCAGCUGUGAUGGCUUGGAAAAACAGUGUAAACCGGCAGUGUAAACAAGAACAGGGCAUGUAUGAGUAGUUGAGAACGGUGAACAGGAGUAUGACUAGACAGAAGAUAGUAGGGAUGACAAGUUUUUUGGGGCACAGUCUAAGUUGGUCUGGUGUCUGGAAUGAGGCUGGGGCCUAAUAAAAAGGAGCAUCUAUACAGGAGCUUAAAUGGGCUGUACCCUGUAGCAUUCUGAGGACAGGCCUGAAUUCUGAGAAGGGAAAGUGGUAAAAGUAUUGUCCAGUCCUUUUUAAGUUGGUGGCUGAGCUUGGUGAGGUGUGUUUUUAAAAGACCUUUAGUCCAUUCUACUUUUCUUGAAGACGGAGGACCGUAAGGGAUGUAAAGGUUUCACUGAAUACUAAGAGCCUGAAAACCUGCUUGGCUGAUUUGACUAAUAAAGGCUCAUCUGUUGUCAGACUGUAUUGAGGUGGGAAGGCUAAACUGAGGAAUUAUGUCUGACAGAAGGGAAGAAAUGACUGCGGUGGCCUUCCCAGACCCUGUAGGAAAGGCCUCUACCUAUCCAGUGAAAGUAUCUACCUAGACUAAGAGAUAUUUUAGUUAUCUGACUCAGGGCAUGUUGAGUAAAGCUAAUUUGCCAGUCCUGGGUGGGGCAAAUCCUCGAGCUUGAUGUGCAGGGAAGGGAGGGGGCCUGAAUAAUCCCUGAGGAGUAGUAGAAUAGCAGAUGGAACACUGAGAAGUUAUUUCCUUGAGGAUAGAUUUCCACGAUGGAAAGGAAAUGAGAGGUUCUAAGAGGCGGGCUAGUGGCUUGUACUAUAGCAUAACCUGCCUUUGCUGGUGUGUGGCGAUUAGGCCUGGUGGAACCGCCAUCAAUAAAUCAAGCGUGAUCAGCGUGAGGAACAGGAAAGAAGGAAAUUUGGGGAAAUGGGGUGAAUGUCAGGUGGAUCAGAGAGAUAGUCAUGGGGGUCAGGUGUGGUAUCAGGAAUAAUGUGGGAGGCCAGAUUGAAGUCUGGGCCAGGAACAACGGUAAUUGUGGGAGACUCAACAAAGAGUGAGUACAGCUGAAGGAGCCGGGAAGCAGAAAGUAUUUGCGUCAGGUAUGAGGAAGAAAAUAGAUUUUGGAAGUUAUGAGAACUGUAGAGAGUGAGUUGAGCAUAGUUUGUGAUUUUUGAGGGCCUCUAAAAGUAUUAAAGCAGCAGCAGCCGCUGCACGCAGACAUGAGGGCUAGGCUAAAACAGUAAGGUCAAGUUGUUCGGACAGAAAGGCUACAGGGUGUGGUCCUGGCUCUUGUGUAAGAAUUCUGACCGCGCUAACCAUGCCUAGGAAGGAAAGGAGUUGUUGUUUUGUAGAAGAUGCUUGGGUUUGAGAGAUCAGUCGAACACGAUUGGCAGGGAGAGCACGUGUGCUUUUAUGAGAAUUAUGCCGAGAUAGGUAACAGAUGAGGAAGAAAUUUGGGCUUGACUGAAGUAAUGGGGGCUGUCUGUGAAGCUCUGCGGCAGUACAGCCUAGGUAAUUUGCUGAGCUUGAUGGGUGUCAGGGUCAGUCCAAGUGAAAGCAAAGAGAGGCUGGGAUGAAGGGUGCAAAGCAAUAGUAAAGAAAGCAUGUUUGAGAUCCAGAACAGAAUAAUGGGUAGUAGAGGCAGGUAUUGAGGAUUGGAGAGUAUAUGGGUUUGGCACCAUGGGGUGGAUAGGCAAAACAAUUUGGUUGAUAAGGUGCAGAUCCUGAACUAACUUGUAAGGCUUGUCUGGUUUUAGGACAGGUAAAAUGGGGGAAUUGUAAGGAGAAUUUAUAGGCUUUAAAAGGCCAUGCUGUAGCAGGCGAGUGAUAACAAGCUUUAAUCUUUUUAAAGCGUGCUGCGGGAUGGGAUAUUGGCGUUGAGCGGGGU